UACGUAGGGGGCAAGCGUUGUCCGGAAUCAUUGGGCGUAAAGGGCGCGUAGGCGGCGCGGUAAGUCACUUGUGAAAUCUCUGAGCUUAACUCAGAACGGCCAAGUGAUACUGCAGUGCUAGAGUGCAGAAGGGCAAUCGGAAUUCUUGGUGUAGCGGUGAAAUGCGCAGAUAUCAGGAAGAACACCGGUGGCGAAGGCGGCUCUCUGGGCCUUACCUGACGCUGAGGAGCGAAAGCGUGGGUAGCGAACAGG
rnacentral:rRNA from 1 species